CCUACGGGAGGCAGCAGUGAGGAAUAUUGGUCAAUGGACGAGAGUCUGAACCAGCCAAGUAGCGUGAAGGAUGACUGCCCUAUGGGUUGUAAACUUCUUUUAUAAAGGAAUAAAACGAGGCACGUGUGCCUUUUUGCAUGUACUUUAUGAAUAAGGAUCGGCUAACUCCGUGCCAGCAGCCGCGGUAAUACGGAGGAUCCGAGCGUUAUCCGGAUUUGUUGGGUUUAAAGGGAGCGUAGAUGGGUUGUUAAGUCAGUUGUGAAAGUUUGCGGCUCAACCGUAAAAUUGCAAUUGAUACUGGCAGUCUUGAGUAUAGUUGAGGUAAGCGGAACUCGUGGUGUAGCGGUGAAAUGCUUAGAGAUCACGAAGAACCCCGAUUGCGAAGGCAGCUUACUAAACUGUGACUGACAUUGAUGCUCGAAAGUGUGGGUAUCAAACAGGAUUAGAUACCCGAGUAGUC
rnacentral:rRNA from 1 species